UCCACGUUUCGGCAGGCAAGCGGUAUCUGAAUAUUUAAUACUUAAUCAUUGAUUUAAUUAUUUGGCAUUUUUACCAACGGACACUUAGGCCUUUGACUUUGCCGGCCAAAUUCACGUGACAACAGCCAAAAACCGGCAUACACCAGCUAACGUAAACCCUGGGUGGACCGGGGUCAUCCGUGCACUGGGAGCUGUGACCCACAAACUUGGAGAACGGUUCCCACACUUUUUAAGGAACAACAUCUGAGAUGUCUGUCCAGAGAAGAACAGUCCUAGGAACAACUAAGAUACUGCACAGAACCCUCAAACUCCCAGGAUUCUGGUGGCGGACCCAAGACUGACGAAGAAACAACGGAAAAGACUAGUUAGCAUCGGGAGGAGAGGGAGGACAGUGAUAAAAUCGGACCUCUUGCUUAUUUUCCUCCUAAUGGGACCUUUAACCUCAUGUACUACCCGUACUAUGGCAAGAAAUCUCAGUUGGAGACAAAGUGGACCUCGGUGGACCUGGUUCUCUGUAGACCUCCGUGUGGACUCACCUGGGCGUGUACUCCAGGUGAGA